AGCGAACGCUGGCGGCAGGCUUAACACAUGCAAGUCGAGCGGGCGUAGCAAUACGUCAGCGGCAGACGGGUGAGUAACACGUGGGAACGUACCUUUUGGUUCGGAACAACACAGGGAAACUUGUGCUAAUACCGAAUAAGCCCUUACGGGGAAAGAUUUAUCGCCGAAAGAUCGGCCCGCGUCCGAUUAGCUAGUUGGUGGGGUAACGGCCUACCAAGGCACCGAUCGGUAUCCGGCCUGAGAGGGCGGACGGACACACUGGGACUGAGACACGGCCCAGACUCCUACGGGAGGCAGCAGUGGGGAAUUGUUCGCAAUGGACGCAAGUCUGACGACGCAACGCCGCGUGGAGGAUGAAGACCCUU
rnacentral:rRNA from 1 species